rnacentral:lncRNA from 1 species
UUAUAUGCCUUAAGAGUUCGUUUGUGAAAUGCUAUUCAUGUUGGUUUUGAUUUAGGCCACCCUUCUUGCUUGGAUAUGACCAUGGAGCUUGUUUCUAUGAUUAAGACCUACCCAUGGCAGUGUAUGGAAUGUAAGACAUGCAUUAUAUGUGGACAGCCCCACCAUGAAGAAGAAAUGAUGUUCUGUGAUGUGUGUGACAGAGGUUAUCAUACUUUUUGUGUGGGCCUUGGUGCUAUUCCAUCAGGUAAAGAUGAAAAAAACAAAACAAAACCCACAUUAUCUUGUAUGAAGAUCUCCCAGCAGUUUUUUAAGGCUGCAUAAAUGGCAGGAACAUGUUCCAAUUAUGCUCAAGCUGUUAUUGUCCAUGUCACAGAUACUUGAUUUUCAUCCUUGGGACCAAAGGACAAAUGAGAUGGCAAAAUGCCUAGUUUAGGUUUUGGGGGAAGUAUCAUUUGAGGUAUAGUAUGAACUGGUGUUUUCUACUAAAAUUACUAAAGUAACAGCACCAGUCUGUCUCAAUGGUUUGAUUUUAUUUUUAAAGAUUAUUUAUUAACAAAGUGACUGCUAUGUCUUUACAUAUGCUAAGACAUUUUUAUAAAGUGAGGCAGCAUGACAGUUCCAGAUAACUUUAGGAUGGCCACAGAUUCAAAUAGUAAAUCACAGUAAUUCUAUUAAAACAUUAUACAGGUCAAUAUGAAGAAUUUAGU